CACACAUACAUCGCGAAGUCUUGAUUUGCCUUGGUGAUCAUUUCUGAGCGUUUUUCUGUGGACUGUUUAUUCCCUGCGACCCUUUGCUGCCUACCCUGAUCUUUGCCUGUUUCCUGGACUGUGAUUGUUUGCUGCCUGCCCUGAUCCUUGCCUGUACCCUGAUUCUGUUUGUCUGCCGCCUGCCUCGACCAUUGCCUGUUACUGUUUAUGCCUCUGCCUUUGCCCUGUCUACUCUAUCGUUGCUGGAGAUCGCACGUGCUGCUUCCUGUUCUCCUGUGUGUUCCUCAGUCUGAGUCGUCGUGUCGUGCUGUUCCGGUUCCGAUUCCUAUUCCUGUCUCGUUUGGAUUUCUCACCUGGUGUUCUCCUUUCACUCCGGGUACUCUACACACGGUCUUCACUCUUCUGUUCAGGAUUGCCCAUCGAAGUCCCUGUGUCACCACUCUCCUGCUGGCUGCAACGUGUUGGACUUUACUGUUUUCUCAAUAAAGAGAUUUUUACUUGCAACUUGCAUCCGCGUAUGACUCCCGUGACAUUAUCAACAAUCGUACAUGGGACUGCUGCAUGAUUUCGCCACAGAUCGAUGCAUAUGUCCUUAGUUUUCUAAGCAUUCAGAAGUAGACCAACCUCUCCACACAAAUUUGCAAAAUACUCGGCAAUAUGCCCAUGUUCCCUUUCCUCAGGUUUGAGUGAAGAGCUGUAACUAUAUAUAAUGAAGAGAAAGACUGUCAGAAACAGAAAAUGGCUGAUAAGUGUGAUCUGUGUCUGCUGGGACUGAUCGUUCUCUCUUCACUUCUCACAGGUACCUGUGGAGUGGAUGAUGGUCGUGUGUUCAACAGAUCUGGUGAAAAUGUCCGUCUGCCCUGUAAUAAUGCUCUUUCUGAAUGUACAACAACUACAUGGAACUAUAACAGAUUCAGACAUUCAGCAGCAGCUGAACUGAUUGGUUUAGGGAUAAAGAAGAAAGAGACAGAGAGACAUGAGAGACUGAGUCUGGGGUCUGACUGCUCUCUGAACAUCAAGAACGUCACAGAAGAAGAUUAUGGAUCUUACACCUGCCGACAAUUUGUGAAUGACAAACAACAAGGACCUGAUGCACGUGUUUUCCUGCAUGUUCUUCAUGUUUCAGUCUCUCCAUCAUCAUCAUCCUCACAGACUGAGAUCAGUCCAGGCCGCUCUGUGACUCUCUCCUGUCAGUUGUAUUCAGUCUCCUGUGAUUAUUUGGUUCGUUCUGAAGGAAUUGAUCUGUUGUGGGUGAAUCAGACUGGUGUUGAUCUGAAGACAGACUCCAGAUAUCAGAUAUUAUUCUCAUCAGAUCACUGUAACAUCAGUCUGACUACAACACUUCUGAAUGAAGAUGACAACAGAGAGUGGAGAUGUCAGCUUACUCUCAGAAAUCAACUCGAGACCUCAGACAGAUACACUGUCAAGUAUUCAGCUCAAAAUGAUUCAACGACAGCAGUGAUUCCAGUCCACAACACAAACUCUCAGGAUCUCUCAACAAUAAAAACACCAGAAACUAAAGAUCACAGAUACUGUUUUCUUCUCAUGAAUCAAUUUUGGAAGAGUCUCUAUUAGAGUUGCAUAACAAUACAGUUAUCUUGUGUGCGUACUAAUUAAAUAUGAUUGUCAUAUUCUACAGUAUGAUCCAUCUGAACUAAUAUUCACCCUUUACAGCUCAAGAUGAUUCAACGACAGCAGUGAUUCCAGUCCACAUCACGAACUCAACUAUAAACACACACAAGGCUUCUACACAAGUGAUUGUGAUUGCGAUUGUCGUCGCUUCAUUUGCUGUUCUCCUUCUUGCUCUUAUUCUCUGGAUGAUUCGUAAAAAAGGAGCAGAUAACAGAAGAGGGACUGAUGACUCUGUGAAGCAGACAGAUGAUCAUGUGACUUAUGCUGAGGUCACUGCGUACAGUAAAAACCAAGACAAAAAGAACAAGGUUCGCUGUGAUGAUAAAGUGACUUAUUCUUCCAUCAGAGGAGCAACAGCUGGAUCUCAGGAAAACUGCAGUGAACUUUAUGCCUCUGUGAACAAGAUCCGUCACAAACCAGUCAAAUAAUUAUACGAAAACCACAUGAGCAGAAGAAUAUAAACUAAUAUAUUCAACUUCUAAUGGCUUCAUUCAGCGCCAUUACAAAUACGUUUAUGUUCACAAACAAGCUCUGAUUUCUUUGCAGUCAUUGGUUAUUUUGGUCAGUUUGACGUUUUUUUGUUUCUGUCUGCUUGUUGAUCAGUUAAUGCUAGUGUCUUUAUUAUUAAUUCAGAGCUGCAGGUUUGUACAAAGUCUAGAAAAUGAGGACAGUUUUACUCUCUUACAUCAUUCUCAUUAAAUCAUGUAUUUUCUCGAGCAGCUAAUUAACUGUCAGCUUGCAUUAAUUAUGAGAACAGGCAAAGCUUGAUGAUGUAAGCAUUAUGGAAGUAUGACAGGAAUGAUAAUUUGGCGUUUGAACCGUUUGAGCAGCUGCUUUCAGCAAUGCUUAGAUUUUAUUUGUCAAUAAAAAAAUAGCCCAUGUCAAAUGUGUAUUUGGUGAAAUAGAUUUUGCAUCAUUACACAUAUUUUCUUGUGCAGACUCAGUAGACGUGACAACCUCCUGAGGAACCUCUAAUUUUAUGUGCUCAAAGCUUUACAGACACAGAUGCAAUGGAUUCUGACAGUUUCUAGAUGUGAGUUUGUGUAAAUCUCUGUCAGUGAGCAGAAUGAUCCCGUGAAUGAUCUCAA